AAGACUUUAAGUUAAAAAAACUUUUAUCCUUCAAAGCUAAAAAUAAAGGAACCUCUUUAAGUCUUA
rnacentral:tRNA from 1 species